GGGAUGCUCGUGCGUGACCAGCAACACGCACGCCCCUCCGUUGCUCGACACCGCCAGCCGGAGCUCCCCGCCGUCACGGUCGCCGUUCGUUACCGCCGCCCGCUCGCCCGUGCACCGCCUCGCCGCUCCGCCCGUCGCCCUCGUCCGCGCCAGGCCGCAUUCCAGCCGCUCGUCCAAGCAGCUCGGGCCUCCGUCGGAGCCUCCAUCGCCGCCGUCAGCCUCGCCGGAGCUCCGCCUGAGCUGCCGCCGGUCUUCUCCGCCGCCCCCGAGCUCAUCCCGUCGCCGGAACCGCCCCAUCCCGCCAUGGACAGCAACCAAGAAAAAUGGGUAUGGCAGCCCCUUCGUGGCCCGUUUUGGUCGCCUUCCCGAGCCCGGAUGCUUGGCCCGCUUUGAGGAAAGUUGUUCUCCUCGGCGUCCUCGUCGUUUUGGUCCGCUCGGCUCGCUAAUCCGGUCCCUAGAUGGCGGUCGUGGUGGACUCGAAGCCCUAAGUUUGGAAAGGUGGUGACUGAAGUAUCGGUGAACGUGUCCUGCUAGUUGGCUUUAGGAUAGUUCCCCAUUCGUUGAGCUGGUCUAUUUUGUAGACAGUCUAGAGUUGUAAUUAAACCUAUGUGUUGUAAAUGAGUGUUUGGUAUUGUGAUUGAUUGCCUGCU